AGUGAACGCUGGCGGCGUGCUUAACACAUGCAAGUCGAACGAGAACGGGCUAUAGCUUGCUAUAGUUGUCAGCUAAGUGGCGCACGGGUGAGUAAUGUAUAGGUAAUAUGCCUCUUACUAAGGGAUAACAAAUGGAAACGUUUGCUAAUACCUUAUACUCCUUAUUAACAGAAGUUAAUAAGGGAAAGAUUUAUUGGUAAGAGAUUAGCCUGUAUUGUAUCAGUUAGUUGGUGGGGUAAUGGCUUACCAAGACUAUGACACAUAACUGGUUUGAGAGGAUGAACAGUCACACUGGAACUGAGACACGGUCCAGACUCCUACGGGAGGCAGCAGUGGGGAAUAUUGCACAAUGGACGAAAGUCUGACGCAGCAACGCCGCGUGGAGGAUGACACAUUUCGGUGCGUAAACUCCUUUUAUAUGAGAAGAUAAUGACGGUAUUAUAUGAAUAAGCACCGGCUAACUCCGUGCCAGCAGCCGCGGUAA
rnacentral:rRNA from 1 species